rnacentral:rRNA from 1 species
UACGUAGGGUGCGAGCGUUGUCCGGAAUUAUUGGGCGUAAAGGGCUCGUAGGCGGUUUGUCGCGUCGGGAGUGAAAACUCAGGGCUUAACCCUGAGCCUGCUUCCGAUACGGGCAGACUAGAGGUAUGCAGUGGAGAACGGAAUUCCUGGUGUAGCGGUGAAAUGCGCAGAUAUCAGGAGGAACACCGGUGGCGAAGGCGGUUCUCUGGGCAUUACCUGACGCUGAGGAGCGAAAGCGUGGGGAGCAAACAGG